UUUCCGUAGGUGAACCUGCGGAAGGAUCAUUACAGAGUUCAUGCCCUCCCGGGUAGAUCUCACCUCCUUGAAUCUUUAUACCGUAGUUGCUUUGGCAGGCCGUGGAAACACCAUGGGCUCCGGCUUAUGCGUGCCUGCCAGAGCAAACAAACACUGUUUUUAGUGCUGUCUGAGUACUAUAUAAUAGUUAAAACUUUUAACAACGGAUCUCUUGGUUCUG
rnacentral:misc_RNA from 1 species